GACGAAGGAUGCAAGCGUUAUCCGGAUUCAUUGGGUUUAAAGGGAGCGUAGGUGGCCUUGUAAGUCAGUGGUGAAAUCCUGUCGCUUAACGAUAGAAUUGCCAUUGAUACUGCAGGGCUUGAGUACAGUUGCCGUUGGCGGAAUAUGACAUGUAGUGGUGAAAUACAUAGAUAUGUCAUAGAACACCGAUUGCGAAGGCAGCUGACGAAACUGUAACUGACACUGAGGCUCGAAAGUGUGGGGAUCAAACAGGAUAGAAACC
rnacentral:rRNA from 1 species